rnacentral:tRNA from 1 species
UCCUGGGCCAUUAGCUCAGGUGGUUAGAGCGCACCCCUGAUAAGGGUGAGGUCCCUGGUUCAAAUCCAGGAUGGCCCAU